ACCAGACUCCUACGGGAGGCAGCAGUGGGGAAUAUUGCACAAUGGGCGAAAGCCUGAUGCAGCAACGCCGCGUGAAGGAAGAAGGGUUUCGGCUCGUAAACUUCUAUCAACAGGGACGAAAGAAAUGACGGUACCUGAAUAAGAAGCCCCGGCUAACUACGUGCCAGCAGCCGCGGUAAUACGUAGGUGGCAAGCGUUGUCCGGAUUUACUGGGUGUAAAGGGCGUGUAGCCGGGUUGACAAGUCAGAUGUGAAAUCCUGCGGCUUAACCGCAGAACUGCAUUUGAAACUGUUGAUCUUGAGUACUGGAGAGGCAGACGGAAUUCCUAGUGUAGCGGUGAAAUGCGUAGAUAUUAGGAGGAACACCAGUGGCGAAGGCGACUUUCUGGACGAUAACUGACGUUGAGGCACGAAAGUGUGGGGAGCAAACAGGAUUAGAUACCCCGGUAA
rnacentral:rRNA from 1 species